GCCUUCGUAGAGUAACGGUUAGCGCGCUCGGUGCGUAUUCGAGAGAUCCAGGUUCAAAUCCCGGCGAUGGCA
rnacentral:tRNA from 1 species